UGUUGAUAGUAAGAGAAUGCAUUGAUGGCUGUGAACUUUGACUCUUUGUGGAAAUGGGACCCACUCUCAAGGUCUCACAACUGGCUGUUUUUCGAUAAGUCAAGUAUGUGGCCUAGAAAACUAGCGCUUUUAGGGUGCCAGAUUUUCCAGGCUCUGGAGGUGGAAAGAUUGGAAGUUAGUGCCGCCACAGAAACCUGGUGUGUUGUGGGAGGCAGAAGAUCUUAAGCAGUGAGCUGGCUGCUGGCUCUGUGCCCAGAGACCUGAGUUCUUUGGACACAGAGCACGAAAAAAGCGACGCAACAGACUUUUAACACUAUAAAUCGGCGAGUUGUUUUGUUCUGACUGCCCUCUUGCCGUGAAACGGAGACAAAUCUUUUUCCCUUAUUAGGGAGAGAGAGAGCCUGUGAGAUGAUUUCAGUGCCAAGCGACUGAACAUCGAGUGAAGCAUAAUAACAACAUUGUCAGCUCAGGCCAAGUCACUCCAGAAAUGUGAGCAAAGCACCAGACAUAGCAUCAAAUCUCAUCAAUAAUGGAGAACAUAGACCAAGCUUUCAGGAGUGGCCUUCAGUGAAUAUUUCUGGGACAAAGAGAGCUUCCUAAAGAGGUGCAGGACUGAGCUCUCACAAAAGGGUUGUAUUGAGAGCAUCCUGAGCAGCUGCAUCACUGCCUGGUUUGGAAAUUGUACCAUCUCGGAUUGCAAGACCCUGCAGUGGAUAGUGAGGUCAGCUGAGAAGAUCAUCGGGGUCUCUCUACCCGCCAUUACAGACACUUACACCACACGUUGCAUCCACAAAGCAAACAGGAUUAUGAAGGACCCCAUGCACCCUUCAUACAAACCCUUCUCCCUCCUGCCGUCUGGGAAAAGGCACCAAAGCAUUCGGGCUCUCAGGACCAGACUCUGUAACAGUUUCUUCCCCCAAGCUAUCAGGCUCCUCAAUACCCAGAGCCUGGACUGACACCAACUUACUUGCCCUCUACUGUGCCUAUUGUCUUGUUUAUUACUUAUUGUAAUGCCAGCUCUGUUUUGUGCACUUUAUGCAGUCCUGGGUAGGUCUGUAGUCUAGUGUAGUUUUUUUUUCUGUGUUGUUUUUAUGUAGUUCAGUGUAGUUUUUGUACUGUUUCAUGUAGUACCAUGGUCCUGAAAAACAUUGUCUCGUUUUCACUGUGUACUGUGCCAGCAGUUAUGGUCGAAAUGACAAUAAAAAGUGACUUGACUUGA